AGCGCUACUAAAAAUAGAUCUAAGCGCGUGCGCUUCCGCUGUCUUCUUUUGUUUUCUCUUCUCGUACGCUUUCGGCCUAAGGAGGCAGGAUGGGCCCAGUGGCAGUGGUAUAGGGCCCUGCCGACAACUUAUCGUGCAAUUGAAAAGUGCAAAAAUGUGACCAAAUGC